UUUACUCAGAUUUGUAGGAGAGUUGGAACUUUUGCCGCUAGGGGCGCUGUUCCAACUGCAUACAAAUUUGACUUA
rnacentral:pre_miRNA from 1 species